UGCCCAGCAACUCCUAUCCCUAGCUCCUCACGGUACUGGCCGGGGUACGAGCAACAUUAGGGAAGAUCGGGUAACCAACCCCGUUGGAAAUUUGGUCGUAUGCCGACAGGGAAGU
rnacentral:ribozyme from 1 species